UGACCGUCAGCUCAGGACACGUCCCGAGGUUUCUUUAUGUAUAAAAGCAGUUUACAACGCGUAGCGCCGUCUUCCUGCACGCGGCAUGGCUGCGUCAGACUUUCGUCCAUUGCGCAAUAUUCCUCACUGCUGCCUCCCGUAGGAGUA
rnacentral:rRNA from 1 species